AGAGGGAUGUGGUCUACUCAUUGGAAUCCGAACCUGUCCAUCAUGUGCACUCUGUAAAUUAGGGGCGGAUCCUGAGACAGGAAGUAGGAAGGAGCCCGGUGGGCGGGCUCCACAGGGCGUGGACUUUGAAACAGGAAAGGAAGGAGCUAUCUGGGCCUCUCUCAGGGAGUGGCCCUCAGUUCCAAGAAGCACAAGGUCUCUGGUUGGUUUUGAAGCCUAGGGCACCUGGCUUUCUCCUUCAUCUCAACUGACGAAGCAAGAGAGUCUUAGCCAAGAGGGGGCCCUCGGUGCAGACCAAGAAUCCAGUGCUGACACACAGGGCUCAGCUGCCUCAGAUCCUUCCAGCCUGCGUGCCCUCCCUACCCCAGCCGGGGAGUUUAGCCCUGCCCUGCCCUCAGGGACUAAGACCAAGUCAAGUCUCUGUCAUGGAUUUGGGGAAAAUGGGCUUUGUGCUUAGGGGAUAAAGAAGGGCCAGGUUCUGAGCGCUUGGCUGCAGGCGAUGUCUCACUGACCUGAGACAACUCCCCCAGCCGAGGACUAACCCCCAGGCCGGCUCUGACCUCCUUUUGCUCAGCUUCCUCCAGAGAUCACUCUCUCCAACUGAAGACUGGAGCUCCCGCCGGAAGUUUCCAGGCUUGCAGGAAAAUGGGGGUGCUUUUCUUGAACUGUCUCUGUGUAUUUGUCUUGCUAAGUCAGGCCCAGAUGGGGUGAUAGGGCUGAGAGGUGGAGUGGGUCUAUUUUCUGUCAUCUUUCCCUAUAUGUCCCUCACACACAAACCUGGGAGUGUCCUCAUCUUGUGGUGAAAAUUUUGUUCAUUGCUCUGUUUGACUACACUUGAUCUUAGCCAAAAGGCUAAGCAAUGUU